rnacentral:lncRNA from 1 species
UUUCUGAGCUUCAGUGCUCUAAAUAUAUAUUUUCCCAAGUUGCACAAGUCUUUUACAUUAGUAGUGCUUAAUAAUUGUAACAGUUUAUAAACAGAUGGCUUACGCCAAUAAUAUGGUUUAAUCAAACAUUCACGCAGAUUAGAAUAUAAUGGACAUGAUAAAAUAAAAUGCAUUUCAUCCUCAAUAUCAUCAAUACACAAUGUACAGGUUCUAAGGUUUCUAUUAACAUUGGAAUACCUUCCCUUCUCUAUAGCUAGAUUAUGUGAUGACAAUCUAAAUUUAACAAUACACUUUUUAUAAAUAUCGGGUAUGGGUUUACACAAAUAUGACUG